UACGUAGGGUCCAAGCGUUAUCCGGAAUCACUGGGCGUAAAGCGUGCGUAGGUGGAUGUUUAAGUGUGAUGUUAAAUCGUGUGGCUCAACCAUAUCGAUGCAUCGCAUACUGGACGUCUAGAGGACAGCAGAGGCAAGUGGAAUUUGUAGUGUAGCAGUGAAAUGCGUAGAUAUUACAAGGAACACCAAUGGCGAAGGCAGCUUGCUGGGCUACUCCUGACACUGGAGGUACGAAAGCGUGGGGAGCGAACAGG
rnacentral:rRNA from 1 species